CCUACGGGAGGCAGCAGUGGGGGAUAUUGCACAAUGGGGGGAACCCUGAUGCAGCGACGCCGCGUGGGUGAAGAAGCGCCUCGGCGCGUAAAGCCCUUUCAGCAGGGAAGCAAAUGACGGUACCUGUAGAAGAAGCCCCGGCGAACUACGUGCCAGCAGCCGCGGUUAUAUGUAGGGGGCAAGCGUUAUCCGGAUUUACUGGGUGUAAAGGGGGCGCAGACGGCGCUGCAAGCCAGGAGUGAAAGCCCGGGGCCCAACCCCGGGACUGCUGUUGGAACUGCGUGGCUGGAGUGCAGGAGGGGCAGGCGGAAGUCGUGGUGUAGCGGUGAAAUGCGUAGAUAUCAGGAAGAACACCGAUGGCGAAGGCGGCCUGCUGGACUGCAACUGACGUUGAGGCCCGAAAGCGUGGGGAGCAAACAGGAUUAGAUACCCCAGUAGUC
rnacentral:rRNA from 1 species